rnacentral:rRNA from 1 species
UGGGGAAUCUUCCGCAAUGGGCGCAAGCCUGACGGAGCAACGCCGCGUGAGUGAAGAAGGCCUUCGGGUUGUAAAACUCUGUCUUCAGGGAAGAAAAAAAUGACGGUACCUGAGGAGGAAGCCCCGGCUAACUACGUGCCAGCAGCCGCGGUAAAACGUAGGGGGCGAGCGUUGUCCGGAAUUACUGGGCGUAAAGGGCGCGCAGGCGGUUAUCCAAGUCAGGGGUGAAAACUCUGGGCUCAACCCAGAGCGUGCCUUUGAAACUGGGUGACUUGAGGGCAGGAGAGGGGAGUGGAAUUCCCAGUGUAGCGGUGAAAUGCGUAGAUAUUGGGAGGAACACCGAGUGGCGAAGGCGGCUCUCUGGCCUAACCCGUGACGCUGAGCGCGAAAGCGUGGGGAU